CCUACGGGGGGCAGCAGUGAGGAAUAUUGGUCAAUGGACGAGAGUCUGAACCAGCCAAGUAGCGUGAAGGAUGACUGCCCUAUGGGUUGUAAACUUCUUUUAUAUGGGAAUAAAAUGUUCCACGUGUGGGAUUUUGUAUGUACCAUAUGAAUAAGGAUCGGCUAACUCCGUGCCAGCAGCCGCGGUAAUACGGAGGAUCCGAGCGUUAUCCGGAUUUAUUGGGUUUAAAGGGAGCGUAAGUGGAUUGUUAAGUCAGUUGUGAAAGUUUGCGGCUCAACCGUAAAAUUGCAGUUGAAACUGGCAGUCUUGAGUACAGUAGAGGUGGGCGGAAUUCGUGGUGUAGCGGUGAAAUGCUUAGAUAUCACGAAGAACUCCGAUUGCGAAGGCAGUUCACUGGACUGCAACUGACACUGAGGCUCGAAAGUGUGGGUAUCAAACAGGAUUAGAUACCCCUGUAGUC
rnacentral:rRNA from 1 species